UGUGGUUUGCUGGCACAGCGUCCGCCCCAAGUAUUUUUCACCCAUGUCUUUUGCGCACUUUUUGUUUCCUGGGCGAGUUCGCUCGCCACCAGGACCCAACCAUAAACCUUUUUUUAUGCAGUUGCAAUCAGCGUCAGUAUAAUAAUUCAAUUUAUUAAAACUUUCAACAACGGAUCUCUUGGUUCUGGCAUCGAUGAAGAACGCAGCGAAAUGCGAUACGUAGUGUGAAUUGCAGAAUUCAGUGAAUCAUCGAAUCUUUGAACGCACAUUGCGCCCUUUGGUAUUCCAAAGGGCAUGCCUGUUCGAGCGUCAUUUGUACCCUCAAGCUUUGCUUGGUGUUGGGCGUCUUUUUGUCUCUCCCCUUGUUGGGGGAGACUCGCCUUAAAACGAUUGGCAGCCGACCUACUGGUUUUCGGAGCGCAGCACAAAUUUGCGCCUUCCAAUCCACGGGGCGGCAUCCAGCAAGCCUUUGUUUUCUAUAACAAAUCCACAUUUUGACCUCGGAUCAGGUAGGGAUACCCGCUGAACUUAAGCAUAUCAAUAAGCGGAGGAA
rnacentral:rRNA from 1 species